rnacentral:rRNA from 1 species
CCUACGGGGGGCUGCAGUGGGGAAUAUUGGACAAUGGGGGGACCCCUGAUCCAGCGACGCCGCGUGAGUGAAGAAGUAUUUCGGUAUGUAAAGCCCUAUCAGCCGGGAAGAAAAUGACGGUACCUGUCUAAGAAGCCCCGGCUAACUACGUGCCAGCAGCCGCGGUAAUACGUAGGGGGCAAGCGUUAUCCGGAAUUAAUGGGUGUAAAGGGAGCGUAGACGGUGCAGCACGUCUCGUGUGAAAGGUCCGGGCCCAACCCCGGGUCGGCAGUGGAAACUGUUGUGCUGGAGUACAGGAGAGGGAGGCGGAAUGCGUAGUGUAGCGGUGAAAUGCGUAGAUAUUAGGAGGAAAACCAGUUGCGAAGGCGGCAUACUGG